AGGGGGAGGGAGUCAGCCUGGGGUGUCCGGGGGCCCUGACACCCUGACACCAAACGUGAAGUUGGGUUCCUCCAGUUUGCCACCGCUCCCCCCCCCACCCAGUCAUGUGCCAAGCCUCAUGCUGAAGCUCAGAGGAGGCCAGGGCCUCCUCUGAGGCCGUGGUUGGAAGGAGAACAGGGAGGUGGUGGGGAGGUGACUCUUCCCUCCUGACUACCUGAAGCCAGCAUGCCAGGGUCUGGGCAGCAGCCUUCCUGGCAAGGGCAGACUGAGGGACUGAGUCAGGGACAGAGGGACAGAGGGUCCCCAGGGACUUUUCCCUGGGGCACAAGUUUCCCAGGCUCAGGGAGAGGAAGCUCCUCUGCAAGAGGAGCUCCCUAGAGUCCCUCUUCCUUCCUCCCCUCUUCCUUCCUCCUCUGUCUCCUUCCAGCUCCUCUGACGGCAGCCCAACCUGAGGAUGCAGGAGGCAGGGCCCCAGGUGAAGAAGGUCCACCGAGGCUGGCCGUGGGCCUCAGAGCCAGCUCCUGCCCCAGCAUCCUGGAUCCACCUGGAAAGCUGGGGACCAGCCUCCCAGGCCCGGGCGCCAAUUCCAGCCUCCGAGAGGGCCGCACCAGUCCAUCCCGACCAAGGCUUCCCCAGAGCCCAGAGCAUCAACAGGUCAGCGCGUGCACCGCCACAUGGCCGUCCUGCAGGGCCGCAGAGCUCCCUGCUUCUGACUCCCCAUCAGGCUGGGGGACUUGGCUCUCCACCCCACCCCCCUACAAGCCCAAUAAAGGGUUAAAGGGGCCGACCAGGAGGUCCCUGGGCCUGCUGGAGUGGAGAUCCAGGCUAGCCUGCUCCAACCUUUUGAGGACCGGCCAGGGCUGCUCCGGUCAAGCCCUCCUGUC
rnacentral:lncRNA from 1 species